rnacentral:rRNA from 1 species
AUGGACAUGAUCAGGUUCGCUCCGCUAAUGGGGAAGGUAUGCACAUCUCGCAUAUUGGUCAGGCAUCACUUCUUACACGUCGAUCCACACAAUUACGUCUUCUUAAUGUCCUCUGUGUUCCCACUGUUUCACGUAGUUUGCUUUCAGUUCCUAAACUUACUCGUGAUAAUAAUGUUCUUGCUGAAUUUCAUCCUUUUCAUUUUUUUGUUAAGGACCGGGACACGAGGGACGUACUUUGAUAGAGGCAAAGGUGUCCCGUCUUUCGAUGAGAUGAUGGAUAUCGCUUUGGUGGCAGUCGACUUUGACGAUCCGACUACGAACGUGCGAGGACGUCGCGCCUUAGCAAUCGCUAAACCAACUCCGAGAGGUUAUUGA